UCUAAUACCGGAUACUGAUCCUCGCAGGCAUCUGCGAGGUACGAAAAGCUCAGGCGGUGCAGGAUGAGCCCGCGGCCUAUCAGCUAGUUGGUGAGGUAACGGCUCACCAAGGCGACGACGGGUAGCCGGCCUGAGAGGGACGACCGGCCACACUGGGACUGAGACACGGCCCAGACUCCUACGGGAGGCAGCAGUGGGGAAUUUUUCUCCAAUGGGCGAAAUCAUGGGCGGAAGGACAUUGUGAUAUGACUAAAUGCACCACAUGUGGUUAUCUUAGAUACGCAGGGGAUAUGGCGGUGGGACGCAACCUGCACAAGUAGACCCAGCUCAUAACCAAACAGCUGCCGCGUUAACACAUAGGGCGCUAACGUUGUCUGGAAAUAUUGGGCGUAAAGAGCUAGUAGGCGGGUUGUCAGGACGAAUGUGAAAGCCCGGGGCUUAACCCCGGGUCUGCAGUCGAUACGGGCAGGCUAGAGUUCGGUAGGGGAGAUCGGAAUUCCUGGUGUAGCGGUGAAAUGCGCAGAUAUCAGGAGGAACACCGGUGGCGAAGGCGGAUCUCUGGGCCGAUACUGACGCUGAGGAGCGAAAGCGUGGGGAGCGAACAGGAUUAGAUACCCUGGUAGUCCACGCCGUAAACGGUGGGCACUAGGUGUGGGCAACAUUCCACGUUGUCCGUGCCGCAGCUAACGCAUUAA
rnacentral:rRNA from 1 species